rnacentral:rRNA from 1 species
CUACGGGAGGCACCAGUGAGGAAUAUUGGUCAAUGGACGCAAGUCUGAACCAGCCAAGUCGCGUGAAGGAUGAAGGUAUUAUGUAUUGUAAACUUCUUUUAUCAGGGAAUAAUGACCGCUACGUGUAGCGGGAGGGAAUGUACCUGAUGAAUAAGCAUCGGCUAACUCCGUGCCAGCAGCCGCGGUAAUACGGAGGAUGCGAGCGUUAUCCGGAUUUAUUGGGUUUAAAGGGUGCGUAGGCGGUUUGUUAAGUCAGUGGUGAAAGUUUGCGGCUCAACCGUAAAAUUGCCAUUGAACUGGCGAACUUGAGUACAGUAGAGGUAGGCGGAAUUCGUGGUGUAGCGGUGAAAUGCUUAGAUAUCACGAAGAACUCCGAUUGCGAAGGCAGCUUGCUGGACUGUAACUGACGCUGAGGCACGAAAGCGUGGGGAUCAAACAGGAUUAGAUACCCCCGUAGUC